rnacentral:rRNA from 1 species
AUGGCGGUGCUCGAUCUGCGGUGUGGGCUAUCAAGACGGCGCGACGGAGCUGCUGCUGCCGGUUGCCUGCCCGGAGCUGCUGCCGGUUGCCUGCCCGGAGCUGUUGCCGCUGGUCGUCCGGCCGGAUCUGCUACUUCAGGCGAUGCUCACAUCACCGUCACCCUCCCGCUCCUCUUCCUCCUCCUUAUUAAUAGAUGUGGUGCAGAUGUGGUGGAGUAUAUCUUCUGGAAUGGGUAUGAACCGGCCAAAGUUCAGGCAGUGCCGGCGAGGUGCGCAGGGGCUGGUGGCCGGCGGCCGGCGAGGUGUGCUCCUGGGUCGGUGGCGACCAGGAAUCUGGGCGGUGAUGAGGAGGAGAUCCUGGGCAUCGAUGAGCGGGAGAUCCUGGGCGGAGAAGUUGGGCGCCAG